rnacentral:rRNA from 1 species
GCUCAACCUCGGGCCUGCAGUGGGUACGGGCAGACUAGAGUGCGGUAGGGGAGAUUGGAAUUCCUGGUGUAGCGGUGGAAUGCGCAGAUAUCAGGAGGAACACCAAUGGCGAAGGCAGAUCUCUGGGCCGUAACUGACGCUAAGGAGCGAAAGCAUGGGGAGCGAACAGGAUUAGAUACCCUGGUAGUCCAUGCCGUAAACGUUGGGAACUAGAUGUGGGGACCAUUCCACGGUCUCCGUGUCGCAGCUAACGCAUUAAGUUCCCCGCCUGGGGAGUACGGCCGCAAGGCUAAAACUCAAAGGAAUUGACGGGGGCCCGCACAAGCGGCGGAGCAUGCGGAUUAAUUCGAUGCAACGCGAAGAACCUUACCAAGGCUUGACAUAUACCGGAAACGGCUGGAAACAGCCGCCCCGCAAGGUCGGUAUACAGGUGGUGCAUGGUUGUCGUCAGCUCGUGUCGUGAGAUGUUGGGUUAAGUCCCGCAACGAGCGCAACCCUCGUCCUAUGUUGCCAGCACGUAAUGGUGGGAACUCAUGGGAUACUGCCGGGGUCAACUCGGAGGAAGGUGGGGAUGACGUCAAAUCAUCACGCCCCUUAUGUCUUGGGCUUCACGCAUGCUACAAUGGCCGGUACAAAGGGCUGCGAUACCGCAAGGUGGAGCGAAUCCCAAAAAGCCGGUCUCAGUUCGGAUUGAGGUCUGCAACUCGACCUCAUGAAGUCGGAGUCGCUAGUAAUCGCAGAUCAGCAACGCUGCGGUGAAUACGUUCCCGGGCCUUGUACACACCGCC